CUCCUAGCGGAUAGAGGAGCCAGUGAGGAUGGGGAGUCACCCCCCUGGUGUCCAGCUGGUUCGGAUGCAGAUGGAAUGGAAGGUGGAGACUUCGUGGGUGCCUUCCUCCUCCCACAAGGCGACCUGUGCUGCUGCUGGGGUCUCAGGUUCAGUUUUCCACACUGAGGGAGGCCCUGAGUACAAGAUGCCUCCUCCCUGUACCACUCAGGGCUGGACAGGACUCUGCUGAUCUGCGAGAGACUGUGUACCUUGUGGCUUUCCCUGGAAACUUGUGCCCAGCAGGGCUCCCCUCUGCUGCCAUCCUGCUCGUAGCCCUCCCAUCUGCCAGAAGAGAGUCUGGACUGGAGAGAGAAAUCCGGAACCUGCACGCAGCCCCUGAAGGUCCAGUGGGGUCAUUUCCUGGACCCUGAGGGCUUCAGUCUUGUCCUCCUCCUCCCCCUCCUCCAUGAGGCCCAGGGAGAGUGUGCGAGCAGGCUGAGAGCUGGGAGGCAGAGGGUCCAAGGAACCAGGAUUUACCAUAGUGUGUCCUUCAGAUGCCUGGGUUCAAAGGCCAGCUGGGCCCCCUGCUGGCUGUGUGCUUUGGGCAAGUGUAAGAACCUCUCUGCGCCA